rnacentral:rRNA from 1 species
GACGUAGGUGGCAAGCGUUGUCCGGAGUUACUGGGCGUAAAGCGUGCGUAGGCGGUGUCUUAAGUUUGUUGUGAAAUCUCCCGGCUUAACCGGGAGGGUGCGGCGAAUACUGAGAUGCUGGAGUGCCGGAGAGGUAAGCGGAAUUCCUGGUGUAGCGGUGAAAUGCGUAGAUAUCAGGAGGAACACCUGCGGUGUAGACGGCUUACUGGACGGUAACUGACGCUGAGGCACGAAAGCGUGGGUAGCAAACAGG